rnacentral:rRNA from 1 species
AUACGUAGUGGCAAGCGUUAUCCGGAAUUAUUGGGCGUAAAGCGCGCGCAGGCGGUCCUUUAAGGCUGAUGUGAAAGCCCACGGCUCAACCGUGGAGGGUCAUUGGAAACUGGGGGACUUGAGUGCAGAAGAGGAGAGUGGAAUUCCACCUGUAGCGGUGAAAUGCGUAGAGAUGUGGAGGAACACCAGUGGCGAAGGCGACUCUCUGGUCUGUAACUGACGCUGAGGCGCGAAAGCGUGGGGAGC